CCGUGCAUUUCUUCCUUCAUUCCCCUCGUUUUCCAUCACUCACUCUAAUUUCGUGUCUUUUAUUAUUUGGGGAGACACAUUACCCCACAAAACACAAAACCCUUUUUGUUCCGUAACCCGAGACAGCGACUCUCGCAGACACAGAAAAAGUCGCACAAAAGCGACCUUCACUGACUCUCUCGCAAUCAGAAAAAUGUUUCGGAUAAGCAAGAUGCACGCCAAAGGUUCUAAUCUCGGGAAUAGUUGCAAACAAACACCAGGAAGUUCUUCAUCAUUUGUCCCAAACCAUCCUUUGCAGAGAGAUUUUGAUUUAAGACAUCAAGAUUAUAUAAUGAAUCAAGCAAGGUUCUUCUUUGACUGGCGAAAAGAUCCUGAAAUUAGCCAAUGCCGUAACUUGAUAAAAAAUGAUAUUUCUACAAUUUUGCAUUCCCGACAUCCUAAUGAUCAAGGACAGGCCUCUGUUUUGGCAAACUUUCUGGAAAAUCGGCUAUUUGUUGAGGCUGCUUCAAAGGAUGAGUAUAUCAACCGACAGACAAUUAUGCAACGAUUGGAUACACAACUCAAGAAGUUGUAUGCCCCAAAAUGCAGCCAAGUAAAUAGCUCUAUUGCUUGCACAUCCCAGAUGGUGCCCUCUUUUGGGUUAUUGCAAGCUAGGUCUAAUGGAAGUGUACCAGAACCUGCUUUUCAUAACGUGGCUGGUCCUAUCACCAAUGCAACCAAUUAUUGUGCAGUGCCUGUAGAUAAUAAAAAUAGCUUCCCAAAUGGAGGGUUGUCUUAUUCUUCUUUUGUUCCCCAACCGGUUUUUUUACCAGAUAACCAUCCAUCCAUCGCUACAUGCACUGAUUUGGAUGUGCUUCCUAACUCUUUUGUUUCUGGUGGGAGAAGCAAUUUGAAAGCUUGCUCCAAGUCAAUUAGUUCCUAUUUUCCUCAGCGACAGGCAGACGAUUGGAAGACGCUUCUGGUGAAGUAUGGAGAUUGUUCUAGGACUACAACGGGAAAAUCCGUCCAAUCUGAAUCUUCAAAUUUGAUGACCCCUCAAGAUGCCUUGAGGGAAUUUUCAAAAGUUUUUGAUCUUCCUCCUGUCCCGAGAAGCCUAGGAGAUAUUAGGCAACAUCAACACCGGAAGCGAGAUUUUCAACGGAAUUUAAAACCUUUUAUGCAGCCAUAUGGGCUUCCUGGUAAAACUAAUAUGGCCCAGCCUAAUGCAUUCUCCAAUCAAGGUGAACGUUGCAGUCAAAUGUUGGGGCAUAAAACAUUGAAACAACCACAACUUUUCAAAAGAAGUCUCAAUGGGGAUCAACAGUUCACUUCAGGGAGCUCAGUAGAUCUUUUUGGUUUAGAUGAUUCUGAUAAUAUGAAUUCAUGUGGUAGUUCCAAAGUUUCGGUUGAACAGAGGAUCAUGCUUGAAUAUCUUUAUUUGAAGAAUUUUAACAAUAUUUCACGGGGUAAUGUUAUGAAAUAUCUGCAUUCAACAGUUUGUCUUAAAGGGACAUGUAAUUGUGGAUGGUAUAUCAAGCUAUUAUUGCAUUUUGAUGACUGUAAAGAUGAUGGUUGUCGUACGUGUUACUCUUGGAAAUUGCAUGGCACUGAUAUUCUUGGGGGUCAUUUGAAAUUUCCUGAUAUUAUGGGUUCUGUUGAAAGAAAAAAUGACGCUCCUUCUGGAAAUACUGAAGCCAUGCUACCACCUGAAAAAAGAAGAAAAAUGGAGCCCGCUUUUGGUGUCCCUUUAAUUAAUAAUGCAAGUUUGGAUCAGUCGACUCAGAAAAUGGUUCACCCUCGUUCUUCUGAAGCUCUUUCAGAAUUGCCAUUGAGCCAAAAAGCUGAUCAAGAGAUGGAGAUGUCACCAAAUCCAACAGCUAAUAGUGUACAUAUGGAGGACAAUCAAGGAAAAAUCAGGUUGAACCAAGAUGAGAUAAAUGCUACAAAAGAAGCCAUUAAGCCAAAAGUUGAUGAAGAGAAGGAAAGGAAGUCCCCAAAUCCAACACUUAAUACUGCAUAUAUGGAAGACAUAAAAGGCAGAAUUGAAUUGGACCAGGAUGAGAUAAAUGCUACAAAAGAAAUCAUUGAGCCAAAAGUUGAUCAAGAGAUGGAAAGGAUGUCCCAAAAUCCAACAGUUACUGUAGAUAUGGAGGGCAUACAAGCCAUAACCGGGUUCAACCAGGAUGGGAUAAAUGCCACAAAAGAAGUCAUUGAGCCAAAAUUUGAUGAAGAGAAGGAAAGGAAGUCCCCAAAUUCAAUAGUUAAUACUGCAGAUAAAGAGGACACACAAGGCAGAACUAAGUUCAUCCAACAUGGAAUAAAUGUUGAUCUAGAGAUGGAAAGGAAGUCCUCAAAAACAACAGUUAAUACUGUUUCCUUAAUUGAUUUUUUCACAAGUAAUCAAAUAAAGGAACACAUUACAAGCCUGAGAAAGCAAUUUAAUCAGAGUACAAUGGUUGAAGAAUCAGGAAGUGAUGUUUACACAUGCCAAUUAUGUGGAAUGGGAACACUUUCUUUUGCCCCCGUGCCAAUCUAUUGCUUUUGUUGUGGCAUCCGCAUCAAGCGAAACGCAUGCUAUUACUAUAGAAGAGAAGAAGAUGAUACACAGCAUUGCUUUUGCAGUGUUUGCUUUAGGACUUCUCGAGGUGGGAACAUCAAAUUCAAUGGAACAUCUGUUUCCAAGACAGAUCUUGAUAAAAAGACAAAUAAUAGAGAAUUUGAAGAAUCGUGGGUUGAAUGCAAUAAAUGCAAAUGUUGGCAGCAUCAAAUAUGUGCACUCUACAACGAUAAAAGAGAUUUGGACUACAGAGCUGAGUAUACAUGUCCUAUAUGCCGCUUAAAGGAAAUUGGAAAUGGAAUGCAUGCACCCUUACCGAAGACAGCGGCUAUGUUUAGUGCUAAUGACUUGCCCAGAACCAUGCUUAGCGACCACAUAGAGAGCAGACUUUUUAAGCGUCUCUGGCAAGAGGAUGAAGAUUGGGCAAAAGCAGGGUAUAAGAAUCUUGAUGAGGUUUUCGAAGCAGAAAGUCUUUCUGUUAGAGUUGUGUUAUCCGUUGACAAACAAUUGAAAGUGAAGAAACAGUUUCUGGACAUAUUUGGGGAGGAGAAUUACCCUUCUGAAUUUCCUUAUACAUUAAAAGUUAUUCUUCUGUUUCAGAAGAUUGAAGGAGUGGAUGUAUGCCUUUUCGCAAUGUAUGCUCAGGAGUUUGGCUCAGAAUGUGGCUAUCCUAAUCAGCGUUCUGUGUACAUUUCAUAUCUCGAUUCUGUCAAGUAUUUUAGGCCUAAAAGAGUGACUAAAAGUGGAGAAGCUCUUCGUACCAUCGUUUACCAUGAGAUAUUGAUUGGAUAUCUUGAUUUUUGCAAGAAACGAGGUUUCACAACUUGCUAUCUAUGGGCCUGUCCACCUAUGAAGGGAGAAGAUUAUUUACUAUAUUGUCAUCCUGACACCCAAAAAACUCCCAAGAAAGAUAAAUUACGGCAGUGGUAUCAUUCAAUGCUAAGAAAGGCCGCUGAAGAAAAUAUCGUUGUUGGUUUAACUAACUUACAUGAUCAUUUCUUUGUUACUACUGGAAGUUGUGACUCCAAGGUAACAGCUGCUCGUUUGCCUUACUUUGAUGGGGACUUCUGGUCUGGUGCUGCUAUGGAUAAAGCCAGGCACAUUGAACAAGAGUGUGGAGGAGAUUAUAAAAUGAUCUUCGAUAAAGUAGUAUCGAAAAGAUGUUUAAAGUCCAUGGGACAUGUAAAUCCUCCUUCUGAAGGAACUGCCAAAGACAUUCUAGUGAUGCAUAAAUUGGGACAAACCAUAUUACCUUUCAAGGAAGAUUUUCUCGUAGUUCAAUUUCAGUAUGUUUGCAUGCACUGCCAUGAAGUAAUAGCAAAUGGGAAGCGAUGGUUUUGCACCGAAUGCAAGAAAUUUCAGGAGUGUGAAAGAUGCCAUACUGUUCACUCACACAUUUCAGCCAAAGGCGAGAGGCAUAGACUUCAUCAGGUCCUCAUGGAUGACGUCCUUGGUGAUACUAAGGAGAAUGAUAUCAUCCUUGAUAAUGGGUUAUUUGAUUCCCGACACAACUUUCUGAGCUUUUGCCAAAGGAACAGGUUUCAGUUUGACUCACUCCGCAGAGCCAAGUAUUCCUCAAUGAUGAUCCUCUACCUUGUGAAGAAUCCUACUCUUCUGAUUGUUGGAACAACAUGCCGCGUUUGCUCUAAAAACAAUGUGUCCCAGCGCUACUGGAAAUGUGAGAAUUGCCCGGAAUUCACUGUCUGUUCUGCAUGCUACAACGAGAGAGGUGCUAGUUGCCAUGCACACACGUUGAGUGAAGCUUAUUCACCAGCGCAAUCUCCUUCAGGGAAUCAAGAAUUGCAGCAGAACUCAGCAAUGUUGCAGCAACUUCUGGAUGUUAUUGAACAUGCAUCUCUGUGUCACUCAAUCAAAACUCAACCAUGCACUUACCCACAUUGCAGUCAAAUUAAAAAGCUGUUCGCUCAUGCCAGUAGGUGUGAAGUUCGACUUUCUGGGGGGUGCCAAUUUUGUAAGAAGGUUUGGCAGGGACUGACUUUACACUCAAGGAAUUGCAAAGACUCAGCAUGUCGCAUACCCCGUUGCAUGGAUCUGAAGAAACAAAUAGAAUGGAUAGCAACACAAGCUGAAUCGCGGCUUAGGGCUGCAGUUUUGCAAUCGGAAGAUAGCAGAUAACAAUCUGUUCAAUGAAACCCUUUGUCCAUAUAUAUUGAGCAGGAUUAUCAACUGCAACAAGCUAGUGUGUAUAGCUAGUUGAUAAUUGGUUCUUGCAAGCCGUACUAAGAUUUAUAUUAUAUUGAAGUUCACGGGUGGUGAAUUGUUUGAUAUAAUUAUACUCCAUGGCCGCCUUAGUGAAGCUGACUCUAGAAGAUAUUUCCAACAGCUUAUUGACGGUGUAGAUUAUUGCCACAGUAAGGGAGUUUAUCACUGAGAUUUAAAGCCUGAAAAUCUUUUACUUGAUUCACUAGGAAAUAUAAAGAUUUCCGAUUAUGGUUUGAGUGCAUUUCCUGAGCAGGGGGCGAGUAUCCUUCGGACAACUUGUGGGACAACUUGUGGGAGUCCGAACUAUGUGGCUCCUAAGGUACUCAGUCAUAAGGGUUACAACGGUGCUGUGGCAGAUGUUUGGUCCUGUGGAGUUAUCCUCUUUGUCCUACUGACUGGAUAUCUUCCUUUUGAUGAACUGUUGAGACAUUCACAAAAGUUGGACAAUUGGAAAAGGCCAGUGAUGCUGAACAGAGUAUUCAAGUUGACGGUUCAAAUAGAGGCACCGGUCUGAGUUCUCCUAUUCCUCUUCCAGCACGUCCUCAAAGAAUUUCUACUGGAAGAGAAUUAUUCUACCAGUAAUUAAUCUUUCUUGUAAAAAUGUGUUCAAAAUGCACUCUUGUGCUCUAGUUUAUUUGUCAACCGUGAUCUCCUGAUGUGAUCAGUUUAAAGAAGUAUAUCUGAUUUCCUUAAUCUUGGGCUGUAUAUGAUUGAAAAGCUCAACAUCAAAGAGUUGUAGUUUUAAAAUUCAAAUGUCUGGUUCCAACAUGUUAUUAAACUACUAUGAGCUCUAAAUUUCCUUUCAUUGAAUGUUUUAUUAUCUUUCGUUUUGAA